rnacentral:tRNA from 1 species
CAAGAUAUAGCUUAUAAAAGAGCAAUUUGCUUACAACAAAUAGGAGUAAUUUACUAUCUUGA